GACGAACGCUGGCGGCGUGCUUAACACAUGCAAGUCGAGCGGUAAGGCCCUUUCGGGGGUACACGAGCGGCGAACGGGUGAGUAACACGUGGGUGACCUGCCCUCAGCUCUGGGAUAAGCCCGGGAAACUGGGUCUAAUACUGGAUAUGACUCCAUGACGCAUGUUGUGGGGUGGAAAGCCUUGUGCGGCUGAGGAUGGGCCCGCGGCCUAUCAGCUUGUUGGUGGGGNGAUGGCCUACCAAGGCGACGACGGGUAGCCGGCCUGAGAGGGCGACCGGCCACACUGGGACUGAGACACGGCCCAGACUCCUACGGGAGGCAGCAGCGGGGAAUCUUGCGCAAGUGGGACG
rnacentral:rRNA from 1 species